AUUGAACGCUGGCGGCAGGCUUAACACAUGCAAGUCGAGCGGGGUGAUGGUGCUUGCACUAUCACUUAGCGGCGGACGGGUGAGUAAUGCUUAGGAAUCUGCCUAUUAGUGGGGGACAACAUCUCGAAAGGGAUGCUAAUACCGCAUACGUCCUACGGGAGAAAGCAGGGGAUCACUUGUGACCUUGCGCUAAUAGAUGAGCCUAAGUCGGAUUAGCUAGUUGGUGGGGUAAAGGCCUACCAAGGCGACGAUCUGUAGCGGGUCUGAGAGGAUGAUCCGCCACGCUGGGACUGAGAAACGGCCCAGACUCCUACGGGAGGCAGCAGUGGGGAAUAUUGGACAAUGGGGGGAACCCUGAUCCAGCCAUGCCGCGUGUGUGAAGAAGGCCUUAUGGUUGUAAAGCACUUUAAGCGAGGAGGAGGCUCUUUUGGUUAAUACCCAAGAUGAGUGGACGUUACUCGCAGAAUAAGCACCGGCUAACUCUGUGCCAGCCGCAGCCGUAAGAC
rnacentral:rRNA from 1 species